UUACACAUGCAAGUCGAACGGCAGCACGGACUUCGGUCUGGUGGCGAGUGGCGAACGGGUGAGUAAUGUAUCGGAACGUGCCUAGUAGCGGGGGAUAACUACGCGAAAGCGUAGCUAAUACCGCAUACGCCCUACGGGGGAAAGCAGGGGAUCGCAAGACCUUGCACUAUUAGAGCGGCCGAUAUCGGAUUAGCUAGUUGGUGGGGUAACGGCUCACCAAGGCGACGAUCCGUAGCUGGUUUGAGAGGACGACCAGCCACACUGGGACUGAGACACGGCCCAGACUCCUACGGGAGGCAGCAGUGGGGAAUUUUGGACAAUGGGGGAAACCCUGAUCCAGCCAUCCCGCGUGUGCGAUGAAGGCCUUCGGGUUGUAAAGCACUUUUGGCAGGAAAGAAACGUCAUGGGCUAAUACCCCGUGAAACUGACGGUACCUGCAGAAUAAGCACC
rnacentral:rRNA from 1 species